UUGAACGCUGGCGGCAGGCCUAACACAUGCAAGUCGAGCGCGCCUUCGGGCGAGCGGCGGACGGGUUAGUAACGCGUGGGAACGUGCCCAGAUCUGCGGAAUAGCCACUGGAAACGGUGAGUAAUACCGUAUACGCCCUUCGGGGAAAGAUUUAUCGGUGAAGGAUUAGCCCGCGUAAGAUUAGAUAGUUGGUGGGGUAAUGGCCUACCAAGUCUACGAUCUUUAGCUGGUUUGAGAGGAUGAUCAGCAACACUGGGACUGAGACACGGCCCAGACUCCUACGGGAGGCAGCAGUGGGGAAUCUUGC
rnacentral:rRNA from 1 species